rnacentral:tRNA from 1 species
GUAUGGUUUAGUGGCAAAUCAUCUGCUUGGCAUGGAGAAGGUCCAAGGUUCAAUUCCUAGCAUCUCCU